rnacentral:rRNA from 1 species
UACAGGGGUCUCAAGCGUUGUUCGGAAUUACUGGGCGUAAAGCGUGUGUAGGCGGCCAUGUAAGUCGGGUGUGAAAGCCCCGGGCUUAACCCGGGAAGUGCACUCGAAACUGCGUGGCUUGAGUAUCGGAGAGGUUGGUGGAAUUCUCGGUGUAGAGGUGAAAUUCGUAGAUAUCGAGAGGAACACCGGUGGCGAAGGCGGCCAACUGGACGAAUACUGACGCUGAGACACGAAAGCGUGGGGAGCAAACAGG